GAAAUUCCUUUCCCAGAGUGCUCACUCACUAAUUUGGUUAACAUUUCGGCUGGUAACAGACCCAAUGAAUCCUCCAUAAUUGCUGUGAGGUGUACAGGGAAAAGUCUAGGAGGAAACUUCUGCAACAGCAAGCAGAAAGAAAAAAAGAGAGGAUUUUUGCAGGAUUUCAACUUCCUGGAAUUAAGAACAAAGCCUUCUUGCCAAACCUAUCCUAGUCUGGCCAUCAUGAAAUGGUAUAUGUUGCCAUUUUACAGCAAUCUGAUAAUCAGCAGCUUACUAUAAUUCUUAAGAUCCCAUAUUUUGCUCUGUGUGUGUGUGUGUGUGUGUGUAUGUGUGCAUGUGAAUGUGCACGUGUCUGCUGCUUGUGUAGUGAAUUAAGGAGUGAGAGGCUAUGGGACAGCCACAGAUGAGAACAAAAUAGUUGUUGUUAUUGUUCCUUUCCUCAAGAUGACCCUUCCCUCCAGAAGAACAAUAUGCUCUGAUCUUUGGCUGCCAGGCUUUACAUCAUCCAUAUUACCCUGCAGCAGCAACAGAUUGAUGUGUAUUUCAGCUGCCCCUGGAGAGUUGCCCUUAAUCUUUCAUUUGCCUCUCCAGCAAAUGGCUCAGAAGCAAGAACAGGGAUAGUUAGAGUGCAUACAAUUGAUUCCAAUCUAUUCAUCACUUAAACUGCAGUCUAGGACAUCAGGGGG
rnacentral:lncRNA from 1 species